GACGAACGCUGGCGGCGUGCUUAACACAUGCAAGUCGAACGGAAAGGCCCUGCUUUUGUGGGGUGCUCGAGUGGCGAACGGGUGAGUAACACGUGAGUAACCUGCCCUUGACUUUGGGAUAACUUCAGGAAACUGGGGCUAACACCGGAUAGGAGCUCCUGCUGCAUGGUGGGGGUUGGAAAGUUUCGGCGGUUGGGGAUGGACUCGCGACUUAUCAGCUUGUUGGUGGGGUAGUGGCUUACCAAGGCUUUGACGGGUAGCCGGCCUGAGAGGGUGACCGGCCACAUUGGGACUGAGAUACGGCCCAGACUCCUACGGGAGGCAGCAGUGGGGAAUAUUGCACAAUGGGCGGAAGCCUGAUGCAGCAACGCCGCGUGCGGGAUGACGGCCUUCGGGUUGUAAACCGCUUUCGCCUGUGACGAAGCGUGAGUGACGGUAAUGGGUAAAGAAGCACCGGCUAACUACGUG
rnacentral:rRNA from 1 species